rnacentral:rRNA from 1 species
AUGCACGCUGGCGGCGUGCUUCACCCCUGCCAGUCGCACGAAGUACCUUGAUUUGAUUCUUCGGAUGACGAUCUUGGUGACUGAGUGGCGGACGGGUGAGUAACGCGUGGGUAACCUGCCUCAUACAGGGGGAUAACAGUUAGAAAUGACUGCUAAUACCGCAUAAGACCACAGCACCGCAUGGUGCAGGGGUAAAAACUCCGGUGGUAUGAGAUGGACCCGCGUCUGAUUAGGUAGUUGGUGGGGUAACGGCCUACCAAGCCGACGAUCAGUAGCCGACCUGGGAGGGUGACCGGCCACAUUGGGACUGAGACACGGCCCAAACUCCUACGGGAGGCAGCAGUGGGGAAUAUUGCACAAUGGGGGAAACACUGAGGCAGCGACGCCGCGUGAGCGAUGAAGUAUUUCGGUAUGUAAAGCUCUAUCAGCAGGGAAGAAAAUGACGGUACCUGACUAAGAAGCACCGGCUAAAUACGUG